UAGAGUUUGAUCAUGGCUCAGAACGAACGCUGGCGGCAGGCCUAACACAUGCAAGUCGAACGGCACCUUCGGGUGUAGUGGCGGACGGGUGAGUAACACGUGGGAACGUACCUUUUGCUUCGGAAUAGCCUCGGGAAACUGGGAGUAAUACCGAAUGUGCCCUUCGGGGGAAAGAUUUAUCGGCAAAGGAUCGGCCCGCGUUGGAUUAGGUAGUUGGUGGGGUAAUGGCCUACCAAGCCGACGAUCCAUAGCUGGUUUGAGAGGAUGAUCAGCCACACUGGGACUGAGACACGGCCCAGACUCCUACGGGGGGCAGCAGUGGGGA
rnacentral:rRNA from 1 species